AUUCCAUAUGAGGGAACUUCUGUAAUAAUUCAUUGUACCUUUCUCAUGUCUCAUACUAGGACUCAUCAUCCAUUUGUUGGAAAGUAGUGAUCUCGUUCUUCAAUUU
rfam:Gossypium hirsutum cultivar TM-1 chromosome 16, whole genome shotgun sequence